rnacentral:misc_RNA from 1 species
GAAAUGCGAUAAGUAAUGUGAAUUGCAGAAUUCAGUGAAUCAUCGAAUCUUUGAACGCACAUUGCGCUCGCCAGUAUUCUGGCGAGCAUGCCUGUUCGAGCGUCAUUUCAACCAUCAAGCUCUGCUUGCGUUGGGGAUCCGCGGCUGCCCGCGGUCCCUCAAAAACAGUGGCGGGCUCGCUAGUCACACCGAGCGUGUAACUCUACAUCGCUAUGGUCGUGCGGCGGGUUCUUGCCGUAAAACCCCCAAUUUCUAAGGUUGACCUCGGAUCAGGUAGGAAUACCCGCUGAACUUAAGC